rnacentral:misc_RNA from 1 species
GAUGAAGAACGUAGCGAAAUGCGAUAAGUAAUGUGAAUUGCAGAAUUCAGUGAAUCAUCGAAUCUUUGAACGCACAUUGCGCCCCCUGGUAUUCCGGGGGGCAUGCCUGUUCGAGCGUCAUUUCACCACUCAAGCCUCGCUUGGUAUUGGGCAACGCGGUCCGCCGCGUGCCUCAAAUCGACCGGCUGGCUCUUCUGUCCCCUAAGCGUUGUGGAAACUUUCGCUAAAGGGUGUUCGGGAGGCUACGCCGUAAAACAACCCCAUUUCUAAGGUUGACCUCGGAUCAGGUAGGGAUACCCGCUGAACUUAAGCAUAUCAAUAAGCGGAGGA